GCUGGCGGCGUGCAUAACACAUGCAAGUCGAACGAGUAAAUUCUGACUUCGGUUGGAAGAGUAAAGUGGCGCACGGGUGAGUAACGCGUGGGUAACCUGCCCUCGAAUCCGGAAUAACUUCGCGAAAGCGUUGCUAAUACCGGAUAUUGUCCUUUUUGCUGUGGCAUUUAGGAUAAAAGAUGACCUCUUCAUGAAAGUUGUCGUUUGAGGAGGGGCUCGCGUACCAUUAGCUUGUUGGUAGGGUAAUGGCCUACCAAGGCUACGAUGGUUAGCUGGUCUGAGAGGAUGAUCAGCCACACUGGAACUGAAACACGGUCCAGACUCCUACGGGAGGCAGCAGUGAGGAAUUUUGCGCAAUGGGGGAAACCCUGACGCAGCAACGCCGCGUGAGUGAAGAAGGCUCUCGGGUCGUAAAGCUCUGUCAAGUGGGAAAAAAGUCUUAUGAUGAAUAGUCAUAAGGCCUGAUGGUACCACUGGAGGAAGCACCGGCUAACUCCGUGCCAGCAGCCGCGGUAAUACGGAGGGUGCAAGCGUUGAUCGGAAUUAUUG
rnacentral:rRNA from 1 species